GGUUUCGUGGUGUAGUUGGUUAUCAAGUUAGUCUAACACACUGAAGGUCUUCGGGUUCGAAACCGGGCGAAGCCA
rnacentral:tRNA from 1 species